rnacentral:rRNA from 1 species
UACGGAGGGUGCAAGCGUUAUCCGGAUUCACUGGGUUUAAAGGGUGCGUAGGCGGGCAGGUAAGUCAGUGGUGAAAUCCCCCGAGCUCAACUUGGGAACUGGCCGUUGAUACUAUCUGUCUUGAAUGUUCUGGAGGUGAGCGGAAUAUGUCAUGUAGCGGUGAAAUGCUUAGAUGAUGACGAUAGAACACCAAUUGCGAAGGCA